CCGGACACCGACUGAGAGACAGUGCAGUCACCCAUAAAGUAGAAAGCACUACUAAACAGCACUGCAGGGUGUAGUGUUUCCUACUUUAUGGAUGAGUGUACUGUGGGCUACGGAGAAGAGAGCA
rnacentral:pre_miRNA from 10 species